UACGAAGGGGGGCUAGCGUUGCUCGGAAUUACUGGGCGUAAAGGGAGCGUAGGCGGAUAGUUCAGUCAGAGGUGAAAGCCCAGGGCUCAACCUUGGAAUUGCCUUUGAUACUGGCUGUCUUGAGUAUGGGAGAGGUUAGCGGAACUCCGAGUGUAGAGGUGAAAUUCGUAGAUAUUCGGAAGAACACCAGUGGCGAAGGCGGCUAACUGGCCCAUUACUGACGCUGAGGCUCGAAAGCGUGGGGAGCCAAACAGG
rnacentral:rRNA from 1 species